CAGCAGCCGCGGGAAUACAGAGGGUGCAAGCGUUAAUCGGAAUUACUGGGCGUAAAGCGCGCGUAGGUGGUUUGUCAAGUUGGAUGUGAAAGCCCCGGGCUCAACCUGGGAACUGCAUCCAAAACUGGCAAGCUAGAGUACGGUAGAGGGUGGUGGAAUUUCCUGUGUAGCGGUGAAAUGCGUAGAUAUAGGAAGGAACACCAGUGGCGAAGGCGACCACCUGGACUGAUACUGACACUGAGGUGCGAAAGCGUGGGGAGCAAACAGGAUUAGAUACCCCGGUAGUCCCUGUCUCUUAUAC
rnacentral:rRNA from 1 species